AGCUGGAAUCGCUAGUAAUCGCGGAUCAGAAUGCCGCGGUGAAUACGUUCCCGGGUCUUGUACACACCGCCCGUCACACCAUGAGAGCCGGGGGGACCCGAAGUCCGUAGCUUAACCGCAAGGAGGGCGCGGCCGAAGGUAAAACUGGUGAUUGGGGUGAAGUCGUAACAAGGUACC
rnacentral:rRNA from 1 species